rnacentral:rRNA from 1 species
GAUGAACGCUAGCGGCAGGCUUAAUACAUGCAAGUCGAGGGGCAUCAAGGUACACGAAAGUGUAUUGUUGGCGACCGGCGGACGGGUGAGUAAUAGGUAGGUAACCUACCUCAUACUGAGGCAUAGCUGGGAGAAAUUCCAGGUAAUUCCUCAUGAGGUUAUAUGACACAUGUGAUAUAAUCAAAGGUAUCGCAAGGUACUGGUAUGAGAUGGGCUUACUGACCAUUAGCUAGUUGGUGAGAUAAGAGCUCACCAAGGCGAAGAUGGUUAGGGGUUUUGAGAGAGAGAUCCCCCACAUUGGAACUGAGAUACGGUCCAGACUCCUACGGGAGGCAGCAGUAGGGAAUAUUGGGCAAUGGGCGGAAGCCUGACCCAGCCAUGCCGCGUGCAGGAAGAAGGCCUCGGUUGUAACUGCUUUAGUCUAGGAAAAGGGUAGACGAGGUUAAUACCUCGUCGCUUGUAUGGUACUGGAAGAAUAAGCACCGGCUACUACG